rnacentral:tRNA from 2 species
GGUCGUUAGCUCAGUUGGCAGACAGUUGACUUUUAAUCAAUGGGUCGCAGGUUCGAGCCGAGCAGAGCG